UCCUUUAUAGUGUAGUGGCUAUCACGGUUCGCUUUCAAGUUCUUCAAGAAUUAAAAAGUUCCGAGCAGACCGGGGUUCGAUUCCCCGUAAGGGAG
rfam:Candida tropicalis MYA-3404 genomic scaffold supercont3.4, whole genome shotgun sequence.